rnacentral:rRNA from 1 species
CAGUAGCCGCGGUAAAACGGAGGGUGCAAGCGUUAAUCGGAAUUACUGGGCGUAAAGCGCACGCAGGCGGUCUGUCAAGUCAGAUGUGAAAUCCCCGGGCUUAACCUGGGAACUGCAUUUGAAACUGGCAGGCUAGAGUCUUGUAGAGGGGGGUAGAAUUCCAGGUGUAGCGGUGAAAUGCGUAGAGAUCGGGAGGAACAUCAGUGGCGAAGGCGGCCAUCUGGGACAACACUGACGCUGAGGCACGAAAGCGUGGGGAGCAAACAGGAUUAGAUACCCGUGUAGUCCCUGUCUCUUAUAU